ACCUUUGUCCAAAAGGAAACCAUCAUAAUAGACAGUGCAUUUUUUAUGUUAUCGACAGUUUGAUCCAGUCAUUGGAUUGAACUGUCUUUUUUCAAUUCCAAUCAUGAUAGAUGCGAUCAUUGAUGGUGAGAUAAAGUAUUUAUGUGUCAUUUAAGAACUCGUCUGGAUUUUGAAGAUGAAAGAGGAGUGUCAGUUGGCCCAAACAAAA
rnacentral:snoRNA from 1 species